AUUGAACGCUGGCGGCAUGCUUUACACAUGCAAGUCGAACGGUAACAGGCCUUCGGGUGCUGAUGCGUGGCGAACGGGUGAGUAAUGCACAGGAACAUGCCCAGAGGUGGGGGAUAACGCAGCGAAAGCUGUGUUAAUAUCGCACGUGAUCUGAGGUUGAACGCGGGGGACCAGGCAGCAAUGUUUGGCCUCGCGCCUUUGGAGCGGCCGAUGUGCGAUUAGGUGGUUGGUGGGGUAAUGGCCUACCAAGCCGACGAUCUGUAGCUGGUCGGAGAGGACGGCCGGCGACACGGGAGCGGAGACGCGGCCCAGGCGCCUGCGGGAGGCAGCAGUGGGGAAUGGUAGGCAGUAGGGGCGAGCCUGGUCCAGCAAGGCGGCGUGCGAUAAAAAGACCCUCGGUUUGGGAACCCGGUUUGUACGGAACGAAAAGGCUCUGGCUAAGACCUGGGGCGGAUGACGGUACCGUAAGAAGAAGCACCGGCUAACUACGUG
rnacentral:rRNA from 1 species